AGGAAAUAGAUACCCUGGUAGUCCACGCCCUAAACGAUGUCAACUAGGUGUUGGGAGCGCAAGUUCUCAGUACCGCAGCUAAACGCGUGAAGUUGACCGCCUGGGGAGUACGGUCGCAAGAUUAAAACUCAAAGGAAUUGACGGGGACCCGCACAAGCGGUGGAUGAUGUGGAUUAAUUCGAUGCAACGCGAACAACCUUACCUACCCUUGACAUGUCUGGAACCCUGCUGAAAGGCGGGGGUGCCCGAAAGGGAACCGGAACACAGGUGCUGCAUGGCUGUCGUCAGCUCGUGUCGUGAGAUGUUGGGUUAAGUCCCGCAACGAGCGCAACCCUUGUCCUUAGUUGCUACGCAAGGGCACUCUAAGGAGACUGCCGGUGACAAACCGGAGGAAGGUGGGGAUGACGUCAAGUCCUCAUGGCCCUUAUGGGUAGGGCUUCACACGUCAUACAAUGGUCGGUACAGAGGGUAGCCAACCCGCGAGGGGGAGCCAAUCCCAGAAAGCCGAUCGUAGUCCGGAUCGCAGUCUGCAACUCGACUGCGUGAA
rnacentral:rRNA from 1 species